ACCCCGCGGGGUGGCCGCAGGCCAGAGAUUAUUUAUAGCGGUGAGUGGUUCGUGCCCGGAGGCAGUCGCUACAGAGGGGGGUUGGGGUUUCCGCCGAGCUCGGGGGUGUGGGCCGCCAAGGGACCCGGCGGCCCUCUGAGAGCUGUGCAGGGUAGGGCACGGGAGGAGAGCCGCGAUUUUCCUAAACCAAUUUGCUCUGGAAAUAACUGAGGACUUUCGUCGCCGCCCAGGAGUUCGGAACUCCAGCGCGAAAGACAGCGCUUCCCGCGGGGCGGGGCAGGGCGGGGCGGCUGUCGCAGGGCGGCCCCGGGUGAGAAGAGGAGGGACACCACCUAUCUGGCCGUCCCGCCUGCUAGUCAACAGACGUGCGGAUGUGGGCUCCCGACCAAUGGGGUCCUGCACCCCCAAGGACAACUCGGUUUCCCUUUUUUCCGGGUUGGUCCUCCUCCUCGCUCUCCUUCUAUGGAAAAGUAUUUUCCAGGUAGGUCUCUGGGUUCACCUCCAGCCUCAGCUCUCCGGUGCGGAGGUUGUCUUUGAGAACAUCCAGCCUUCUAACUACCAUCAGCAUCCGCCCGACAAACACGCGUUCACAUGCGCACACAACACACCUUAUGCUGUUAGCCAAGAAGCACCCCCCUUCUCCCGCCCCAGGAAAAAACCUGGGCAGCAGCCGACGACGCGGCGGGAACACAGCCCGGGUCUUAAAAGGGCGCAAUUCUGGCUGGCACUGGCCCCCUCCACUCUCCCCAACUCUGUGGUCGGGAUCCAAUGACACCGCCAAAGCACAAGAGGCCUACGGCGACUAGGGCCUGGAGCGCGCAGGAGAGGCAAAAGUGGCUCACCACCCGACGCCCUUUCGGUGCCGUAAGGGGAACUCCCAGGAUGGUCCGCACCCCCUUGCUGGGUCGCCGUAGACUGAGAAAAGUCAGUCUUGGGGACCUCUCGGGUUCAGGGGAUCUUUCUUAUCAACCCCCCGAACCUGCGCACCCGGCGCCAGCGGGCUCCGAACCACGCCGCAGGCAGGCAGGGGAAGCCCGGGCAAAGACGGCAGAGAAGAGGGAAGGGGAGGGGCGGGGAUCCGGACUUCCAGGCUCCCGGCGCCCCCUGGCCUGCUCGCGGCUCCAUCGGCCCGGCGCGUGCCAAUAGCGGACCCCGGAGAGCAGCGGAGCGAGCGCG